GGUUUGUUUACUUCUUAUAGUCCUAGCCCCCCUAUUUACCCAUAUCAGUGGAGUUACCUUUGUGUUCCUAUCUAGGAAUAAGGAAAGGAGGUUCUUUGACAAAGAGGUAGGGCUAAACUGUAAGCUUUCACUGGACUUUAAUAAAAUGGUUCAUCAUAACAACCCAAGAGCCUUCCAUUCCCCUGGGGAAGAGGAUGUUGCAGCAGGCAGCCAAAACCAGCAGUAUGCUAGACAAUGGCUAGCUACAUCUCGGAGAAGAAAGUGUGUGCAGCCAACUUCAGAGUGGCAAGGAAGAGGCCAGUCCAGGUCCUUGCAAGUCUACAAAUUUAGGAGUCGUGCCCCAUCUACCAGUGUGCACUGCAAUGGCGAAGGCUCUUUGGGGCUCUCUAGGAUUCCUGCACUGAUGGAGGAUGGAAAGAUUGUGGAAAUGCUGGUUAGGUCUGGUAGCUAUUGGGUGCAGCAAGAACCUGCUCGAUGUUGGGUCAGAGACUGUACUGGGCUGGCUUGCUCAGCAGCAUGUCAUCGUUCUAGGAGACAUCUGUUGAGACACCAUCUCCUAGGUGAGAAAGAUGGUUUGACUUCCCUGAUAAAAGAGGAAUUUCUCUCAAUGGAUGAAGGCAAUCAUGGCAGCAUAGGGGACUCUGGAACAGCCAGCUCCUGGGCAGGUGUCACAGGUGAUGAUGCUCCCAGGAGUUUUGCAGAGGAGUACUCAUUAGCGCCCUUAAAUACAUGGAAGAAAUAUUCUGCUCAGAGUUUUGAUCAGCAAGUAGAAAACUAUUUUAAACAGCUCUGAGCUUCAGCACUUAUGUUUGGAAUUUGGGAGCCAAAUUUGCUGGAGAUGCAAAUGCCAAUCUUUGUGUGCACAGUUUAUAGUAAUACAGGCUCAAGUUUGCAGUAAAGCCGUGAAGGUUCAAAUAGGGUAAAGCCCAGUAUAUUGCUCUUAGAUUGACAGACAGCUAGAAAGACAAAACUGGAAUGCAAAUCAUUCCUUGAUAUGAGUUGCUGCCUUCUUUGGGAGUUUAAAAACCUGUAAUAAUUGUAAGGCAUUAAAAAUGGAAAAAUGACUUGGAGUCUAAGCUAAUGUAAUGACUGUUUCUUUUGCAAAUGUAAGGGAUAUACCAAGAAAUAUGAUUGUAUUUGUCUCUUUCUCAGCAGUAGCUUUUUCUUAAUAACUUUUUGAAGGAUAUUUGAAAUUCAAAGCCCUUGUAUAUGCCAGUAUUUCCUUUCACUAAGUGCUUUAAUUUACUCUAUAGAGGCCUAGAGGGUUUAGUAUUUUUUGCGUGCUUUUUUUCCUUGAUCUGCAUCUGAAAAUUCUACUCCACUGCAUAUAUUUGAUUAUUCAUAUAUAAACAGCUAUGUAUGAUAAUGUGAGACAGCCAGAGCACAUCCUGCCUUAAAAAAACAAAAGGAAAC